rnacentral:rRNA from 1 species
GAUGAACGCUGGCGGCGUGCCUAAUACAUGCAAGUCGAGCGAACAGACGAGGAGCUUGCUCCUCUGACGUUAGCGGCGGACGGGUGAGUAACACGUGGAUAACCUACCUAUAAGACUGGGAUAACUUCGGGAAACCGGAGCUAAAACCGGAUAAUAUAUUGAACCGCAUGGUUCAAUAGUGAAAGACGGUUUUGCUGUCACUUAUAGAUGGAUCCACGCCGCAUUAGCUAGUUGGUAAGGUAACGGCUUACCAAGGCAACGAUGCGUAGCCGACCUGAGAGGGUGAUCGGCCACACUGGAACUGAGACACGGUCCAGACUCCUACGGGAGGCAGCAGUAGGGAAUCUUCCGCAAUGGGCGAAAGCCUGACGGAGCAACGCCGCGUGAGUGAUGAAGGUCUUCGGAUCGUAAAACUCUGUUAUUAGGGAAGAACAAAUGUGUAAGUAACUAUGCACGUCUUGACGGUACCUAAUCAGAAAGCCACGGCUAACUACGUG